rnacentral:lncRNA from 12 species
GAAAAAUCCAGAGCACUACACGGAUAACCUUACCUUCGCAUUAUAAUGGGAGCGCCGUGUUUCCGAAGUUGGACUAUAGUGAAGUAGCACCAAUUUACUUAUGUAGGUGCUGCCUGUGCGACCUUUCGUCCAUUUUGUCUUUACGCCAAACAGUUUUCAUUACUUCCGUGGGUUUAAAGCUGAUACUCGUGUAAGGAAGAAGAAGAAGAAGAAGAAGAAGGGGGAAAAAAUAAUAAUAACAAAACGGAUUCAGUGAAGAUUGGAACCUUAUCGGAUGAAGUUUCACCAAUGAGCUACGUUGAGCGGGACAACUUUGAACAAAUGCAACCUGAUCGUCACAUCGUUCUCAUGAAUGAUGAGCAUACAGCAGCCCAUCAAGACUACACAGCUCCUUACACGAGUUACAACUGUGAUCCCUCAAGACCAUUCAUGUUUUUAUGCCAUGUAGUGUUUGAUAAAGAGGCACAUCUCUCUCUCUCUCUCUCUCUUUCACACACACACACACACACACACACACACACACACACCAAGUUGUUAUAUCUGUAAAACUGCUCAAAUCAUUUUCUUAAUCAGUGUUUUUCAAAGCAUUCUACAAAGUAAAUAUAUUUCAGAAGCAGAUUUUUUUAGAGAAUAUAUCUGAAAUUUAGAUUUUAAUGUUUUAAUCAUAAACCUUUCUAUUUUGUCACAUUUAUGCAUAAAGCAAGAAUGACAUCUAAUUCAAGAUACAUUUUCUGAAAACAAGUCUUAAUAUUUUAGGCAGUUUUGCUUCUCAAGUAAAUGUAUCUUGUUUUAAAGGUGUUCAGAUAUUUUACUGGGAAAGAAGACAAAAAAUAUGAUGAGGAUGGUGAUGAUGAUGAUGAUGAUGAUGAUGAUGAUGAUGAUUUUGCAUUUGACCUGUGUUAGAGGUUACAGGUUAUAAGGGUUGUACUUAUUUCAUAAUUAAUUUUAUUCACAUUAAUGAUUUGCAUCAUUAUUUUCUAACUGCCAGUGAUGCAUAAAAUAUAAUAAGGUUUUUUUUUUUCUUUUUUUUUCUAAAACAGUAAAAAAUGUGGUAUUCUGAUAUCACUGUGUGAAAACCAAGCAAGCUUACUAUUUGUUACACAGCUGUAUGCUUGCAGAAAAUCUAUAAAAUCAGGCAUAAAAGUUUGCUGCCCAUUGAAUCAGCAGCUAAUAUAUUUUGCUAUAAUUGGAGUCACAAUAUAAACUGUACCAUCUGUUCGUAAAAUAGCUUAUAGCUUACUUGGAAUUGCUUUAAAACUAAAUUACAUUUAAUUAUAGCAAAAUCCAGUACCAUAACGUAAGGAAAAAUAAACGAUUCAGCUCCUUACUACACCAGUGAGGUAAUGAGGGCUCUGAUGAAGAAAUAUUGUUUGCAUCGCUGGCCAGUGUAGAAAGCACAGAAAAAGCCAAUGAUUUUACAAGAAUAGUGUUACAUGACAUUUCAUUAACCCACAACAAUCAUGCUGUGAAUCAUCUUUCUGAUACAGCAUGCAAUGAAUGUUUAGUACUCUGCUCUAUGGAUAAUUCAUACCAAUGUUUUAUUUAUUUUUUUCCAUAAAAAAUAAAAAAGUUUAUAAUCAAACCACAGUUCUGGUGACCAAACACUGCCAUAAGGGCAAAAAAAACAUGCAGACAUUUAUUAAAAAUAUCUUCAUAUGAUCCAAAAAAAAAAGUCUGUAAAUUAGUAAAUUAUGAAAAAAAAUAUGAAAAAAUUAUGUAAAUUAUGUAAAUUAUGAAAAAAAAAAAAAAAAAAAAAAAUUUGGAGUGAACUUGAACUUUAUUUUUUAAACUUAACUUUAACUGUCUAAUUGCAGUGUCACUAGUGGCACCAAAGGGAAUUGCAUUCUUUUCAGUCUUUUUUGUUUAUUUAGUCAGACAGUAAAGCUGGUAUUGGCCUGGUAAGUGACAUUUGGAAACUACAUUUUGUAUUGUGGUUGACAGAAGCACACAAAACUUAUAUGUUAGUUACUGCAGAGUUUAUUUUCUUUGUGUGAGUGCUGUUACCCCCACACAGUGGAUGUCUUUGCAAAAGAGUAACUUGCACCACAACACUGACAAUCUGAAUGCUACAUUCACAUUUCCCUGUGUGAAGGGUCUAACUAAGUGUGUGUGCGCCUUUGCAUCCCAGCUGUCUCUCAUCAUUGCUAUCUGCUAGCACAGUUUUUGCCAUUUUCCAAAAACACCAUUUAGAGCUUUUGGCGGCCACAUAAAAGACAAAAAGACCUUUUAGCGCAGGCACACACAGACAAUUACACAAAUAUGUGCAAAUAUCAGUAUCCAGUAGUGUUCUAGCUCAAUGGCUCAUUCAUCCUAUGCUGAUGUGGGAUAUAGCCAUGGAUGAGAGCCCGAGAGAGUUAGCGAAAUACCAUUCCUAGUCAUGUGAAUUUGCCUCAAUGGGGCCUUUUUUUUUUUUUAAUGGCUCUCUGCAGGUAAAGUGGCUCCCUAACAAGUCCUCAAAUUAAUGAAUGACUCAUCCGUGAAGGCCCUUCUGCAGCAAUUCCAGCACAUCAGAAAUUUCAUAGCGACGACUGAUUGGUUGAACAUGCAGCAAGCAGACAGGCCCGAGCAGGAGCGAAGCUUUAUGAUGGUGAGCCGUAGCCCAUUAUUUUAUGAUAAUGAGCUGGAUCACCGAAUCCAUCCUGAUGCCGAGAUUUCUGCAAGACAAACGUGUGAAAAGACAGGCACAGGAACAUUGACUUCUUGAUUAGAGCUUGAAAACAGAGACCCUUGGGAGUAUGCAGUUGAAAAGAAGGUAAAGAGUUGACAUGACACCUUUCAACUAGGCAAACAAAAACCUUGAUGCGUGUACGAAAUGACAAACAAUAAGAGACAUGCAAAAAGCAGGGCUUCUAAAAGGUUUUGGGUGUCAUUUUGAAUUCCUUGACACAUAGAAUUUGUUUGAUUUUUACAAAACUAUGUGUUUUUAAAACCUCAGUGUCACAUUGUGUCAUAACCAAAGUGACACAAUAAAGCAACAAGCAGACUCCUCCUGUAAAAUCUGUGUUUUUGUUCUAAACAGCGACUGGACAUUUUGUUUAUCUGUUUCUAUUUCUGUGUCAUCCAUAAUGACAUUUCGUUGGCCCAAAAUCCUGCAAAAGCAAAUAAUUAUUGUGCUGCAUAACAGUGCAUUUUAAUUUUCAAUGUGGAUGGACAAUCUUGUAGUUUUACGGUUAGUACAUUGAUUUAUCAUAACUCAUAAUAUGAUAACACAACUUUAUCUAUGAAGCAACAUUCAGAUAACUGAAAUUCUGUAGAUUACCAUAAAUAUUUUAGUUCAUUUAUGGCUUCAAGUUUAAAAGUAAGAAAUUAUUUUGAAAGGAAUUUGUUAGAUAUAUUUAUAUAAUGUGAGGGCCAACCCAUAAUGACCUUUGUUUGAAGAGCAGACUCAAUGUCUGGCUGGAUUUAGAAAAGAAGACCGUGGGUUGUUUUCUGAAAUUAACUGCUGUUUAUUUGUUUUUCUUCUUUUUUUUCUCUGUAUUGCACUGAGCAUUUCAUGAUAUGUGGCCAAAUAAAAAUGUAAAAGUGAGAACUUUACGAUCAAAAAGGCAAUAAGUAAAGCAGCAAUUAAAUCAGCAUCUUGUACAUUACCACUGGCUCUGUACGCUAUUACUGUGACUUUUAUUUCUAACCUGUAAUCAAUUCUUUGUUGGGUUUUAUGCAUAACCAACAGACAUUUUAAUGGAAUGCAACCCUCUGUUUAAUUGUCAUGGUUAACUGAUUUACUAUAAACCUUUCCUCUUUGCAUACAUGUCCUGACCUGAAUAGCAUUAUCUAUUUAAACCAGAUUACUCAUCCAACCCAUAAGUUAUAGCCUUUUAUUUCAUGUAUCAUCCAAGCAAAUUAUUAUAUUCAUGAUCAAAAGAAUGGCUACCUAGUUGUUCAUGCUUCCUCAAAGAUCAAAGGCUUUAUUCAUAUAGAUUUGUACUGCAAUUAGUCAUUUUAUAUACAAAAAAGAACAAUUAUUACACCCUAGAGACAUGAACUGAGUGUUUUCAAACCCUCAUAUUAAAAUGUGUGCCAUGUCCAUAGAGACAUUAUGCUCUUAGGGACAUAUGAUAUUAAAUGUGGCUGCCAGAGUGUUGGUGAACAAACAACACUACAUUUAUUCUUUCUUUUUCAUUCUUUGUGUUCUUUAUCUAUUUGUUUGCUUUUUCCACAAUACUCUGGCUACUUCAUUGUCCUUUUAAGUAAUGCUCUGACUAAUGUGCAAAGACAUGCAAAUUAAUAAGAUUGUCAUUUAUGGAUCUGGAUGAUAAUAAUAUACAUUUGCUGUAAUGUAUUAUGGGUAUUUUUUUUUUCUUUGCACAUAGACACACAAGGUCGUCAGUUGUAUCAGCAGUAUGCUAAAAUCUACCUGAACUUUCACUGCAAAUUGAUAUUAUUUUGUCUGAUGCUCAGUGUUCCAUCUAGAAUCUGACAAAUAUUUUGGUUUCACGGCUUGUCUGCUCCUAGAAGUCCAUUUCUCAAAGUGACAGCAAGAUUAGAGGGAAUAUUUGAUUUGCAUUUAACACUCAACACAAUGGCUGUCAUUCCUUUUCCUCCUUGUGCUCCCAUGCACUGAUAUAAGAUAGUACUGUAUUUCAUAUUUCUUUUAUCUGCUGGGAUAUUCUCUUUAAUACAUUACACACUGCAAAUCUCUUUGUACACAUCCUUUUGUUCUCAAAUGAAUCACGGAUAAAUAAUUAUGACUUCCACACACAUUAUUUCGCUAAGAAACCUUUCUACCCUCAGGCACACAAUGAAAGACGUUGUUGAUUGUCAUGGGUUAGAGAAUAACAGCUAAUUAUGAGUAAAAGCUCAUUAGUCAGCAGAGAGAGGAGGAUGUGAAGUUUAUCGGUUCCUGUUAUAGACUUUGAAACCUGAAAGAACCCUACUGUAGAAAUUGUAAUACAACCCUUUAAUCAACUUUCACCUAAGAUACAAUUUUUUUUAAACAGUCAGAUAACCCUCCAUCCACCCUGCGGACACAAAUUUCUCAGCAGGAAAUAUCUCAGAGAAUGUGUCUUAAUUUGCAUGCUUCCAUCAGAGACAGCCAAAACUCAUUGCAAUUG